ACUGGUAUGUGUGGGGCUCCAGCCACUUAGUUGGAAUUCACCAUGAACUGCAUCUCGAGGAUCAAGUUUAGGCUCCCCAGUCCAUUGUGACAUCCAGCAAAGUGGAGGUCUCACUCUGUUGCCCAGGCUGGAGUGCAGUGGUGCAUCCACGGCUCACUGCAGCCUAGAUCUUCAGGGCUCAAGCCAUCCUCCCACCUCAGCCUCUUGAGUCGCUGGGACUACAGGGUCUCACUCUGUCACCCAAGUUGGAAUGCAGCAGCAUGAUCACAGCUCAUUGCAGCCUUGACUUCCCAGUCUCAAGCAAUCCUCCCAUCUCAGCCUCUUGAGUAGCUGGGACCACA
rnacentral:lncRNA from 1 species